CUCUUUCUCCACUCUAAACGAUUACAAAAUUCACAAGCAGCCCAACAAAUUUGAUCAAAAUUUGACUUGUGUUUGGGAGCACAUAUCUCACUGCAGAUGGAAAUAUGAUGUUGUCUCCUUGUGCUAAUAGGUUGCGAUUCGAAGGACUUGGUAAUAGGCAUUUAUUAAUUGUAGUCUUUUUCAUCUUAAUUUGAGAAGAAAUGGGUGUCCUUUGUUGUUGCCAUCAAAGAGGCAAAGAGAAAUCAGUUAUUGGUUCCUUCAAUAGCCAAAUUCAUAAGCGCUUUUUAACUUUUAAAAUUGAAGAAAGUAGAGAAUUUGAAUAAAUAAAACAACCAAAAUCUAAAACCAAAACUCAGAAUAUAAGUAAAAUACAUUGCUGGAGGAUCUUGGACUUUAUCAAUGAUGCAGGGAGAGGCCCAUUUGGUAAAGAAGAAGAACAAAUCCAAGGAGGUCGAUAUGGUAAAGAUUAAGAUGCGACUCUAGAUACUUGGUUUCUUUCUCAUCUUUUCUUGAUAAGAAGAAAAUAAUAUUUGGAAUAAGCUUGGCUUACUUGUUUAGAAGAACAAGAGCCAAAUAUAAUGGAACUUAAAGAGAAAUAAGGAUUAAGGAUUUGAUAGUAAUUGAGAUUUUCAAUACAAUGAUGUGUUCUUGAAGUUUAUUUGGAGAAAUAAGUAUUUUUUAAUUAAAUAUCUUAAUUCAAUUUUUUUGAAAAGCUUUUUUAAAUUCUUAUAUCACUUGUGGGAUCCAUAAAAUAUUAAAAAAAAAUCAUUUUAUUGGAUGCACACUGCCACAUGAGUGUAGGCGAUGGUGUUAAAGCUCAAGGUACUCUCUUGUCAAUAAUUGAACCAUAGGUCUCAAAGUGCGUGAAAUCACAUGGUAUUUUUUUUUUUUUUUAAAAAGUAUGCAUACAAUCCCAUCCUCAUUUUUAGUUCUAUAUUAUGUGCUAAUUCACUCCCAUUUGCAUUCUUAAGAAAUUGAAUUUCUUGACUAUAUAUUGAUCUUUGUAUUUGAUUUUUUGGACAAAUACAUGUACGCAUGCCUAUGCACACUGUGAGCAUGCACAUGUACAUAUGUUUAUAUAAGUCUUCACAUGUGUAAUUGGUUCUUUCAGUAUUGUCGAUUGCAAUUUAAUUUGAACUGAUGCAUCUAUUAAUUAAAGUCUCAGCCAACUAUUACACUACUUAAUGAAACUUGGAUUCGAUUCACUCAUGGCAUAUAAGUAGACUAUGGCUGCUUCGUUUGGUUUGCAGAAUGGUAUGGAACAGGGUGGUAAUAGAAUAGUUAUUCCUAAAUUUGGUGCAAAAUAAAUGUGGAAUAUCAUUCCAUUGAAUAGCAAUUUUAGGAUUUAAUGUUUUUACUAAAUUUUAAAAUGUGCAAUAAUUAUUUUAUAUAACAAAUACUUUAAAAUUAGAAUGGUAUAAAUUCAAAAAAAUUAAGUGAAGAAUAGCUAUUCUAUUCUAUCACUAUGAAUAGCUAUUCCAUUCCUUGAACCAAAAAAGUCGAAACAGUUAAAUCAUAUUGAUUGUUAUGCUGUUAACAUGUUUGAAAUUAGAUAGUAUAACUAGACUUUUACCGAACUGAGCCAAGCUUGGAUGGAUCAAAACUCUGUUCAUAGCCCAUUAAGAUUACAGUAAAUAUGAAUUACUUUGGCUUGCAUUGCUUUCUCCCCUCUGUGUUUAAUACUCACAAAGACGGGGUUCUGCUGAAACUGAUUCCUCUUAUUAAUGCAAGGUAGGUUUUUUGCUCCCCCCCCCCCUCCCCCCCUCCCUCCUCUUUCAUUUUCAUCCUGUUGUGGAUGUUCCCAAAAUCAGAAGCAGCAAGUAAUAACCAUAUGACAUUUUUAUGACAUUUUUCAGGCCCAUGUAGGAGUUGCAUUA
rnacentral:misc_RNA from 1 species